GACGAACGCUGGCGGCGUGCUUAACACAUGCCAGUCGAACGGAAAGGCCCUGCUUUUGUGGGGUGCUCGAGUGGCGAACGGGUGAGUAACACGUGAGUAACCUGCCCUUGACUUUGGGAUAACUUCAGGAAACUGGGGCUAAUACCGGAUAGGAGCUCCUGCUGCAUGGUGGGGGUUGGAAAGUUUCGGCGGUUGGGGAUGGACUCGCGGCUUAUCAGCUUGUUGGUGGGGUAGUGGCUUACCAAGGCUUUGACGGGUAGCCGGCCUGGGAGGGUGACCGGCCACAUGGGGACUGAGAUACGGCGCAGACUCCUACGGGAGGCAGCAGUGGGGAAUAUUGCACAAUGGGCGGAAGCCUGAGGCAGCAACGCCGCGUGCGGGAUGACGGCCUUCGGGUUGUAAACCGCUUUCGCCUGUGACGAAGCGUGAGUGACGGUAAUGGGUAAAGAAGCACCGGCUAACUACGUG
rnacentral:rRNA from 1 species